GUGCCAGCAGCCGCGGUAACACGUAGGGGGCGAGCGUUGUCCGGAUUUAUUGGGCGUAAAGAGCUCGUAGGCGGUUCGAUAAGUCGGGUGUGAAAACUCUGGGCUCAACUCAGAGACGCCACCCGAUACUGUUGUGACUUGAGUCCGGUAGGGGAGUAUGGAAUUCCCGGUGUAGCGGUGAAAUGCGCAGAUAUCGGGAGGAACACCAGUGGCGAAGGCGGUACUCUGGGCCGGAACUGACGCUGAGGAGCGAAAGCGUGGGUAGCGAACAGGAUUAGAUACCCUAGUAGUCC
rnacentral:rRNA from 1 species